UCGUGCUAGACGGGGAGUCAGCGGUGCCCUGUACCUGCAAUCCGCUAUAGCAGGGUUGAAUUCCCGACUGAGGCUAUACUCUUUAGAGUCUGACCUCAACAAGUGGUGUUGAUAAUCGGGCCCUGUGCAAUAGAUACUUAUGAACCCCGCCAGAUCCGGAAGGAAGCAACGGUAAGUAAGUUUUUCUAUGUGCCGCAGGUCUACCUGAUUUGAGCUAACUAUUGAGGUAACGUCUGAAGGCUAUAUUCGAUGGAGGGUGCACGA
rnacentral:SRP_RNA from 1 species